UUUUGUUUUGCUCACCAAACACACACACACGCACUGCAGCACACUUCCCCCUCUCAACCACGAAAAUCUCCACCAUUUUCUCACUUGUCUCUUGCUCUUCUCCCUUCUCUCAUCAACCCUUGAAUCUUGGGAGCCAUAGCAUGAGAGGGCUUUGAUUUCUUGUUGGAAGCAUUGCACAAAGUGGUCUUUUAAGAGCAAAAACAGUUUGGCUUGGGCUUUGCUUCAAAUCAAGUCCUUCAUCGUUUUUGAGCUUUGGGUAACAAUUUUUGGGUGUUAGGACCUCCAAUCUACUAAUUAUUUUGAGGCACGUAAGGUGGAGACUUCAAUUGUUCUCCAACGGUGAGUUCAAUGUAACUAGAACGUGUGGGAUAUUCAAGUCAUGAGUCCAAUGUAACCAAUGGGGGGAUUAGAUGCAAGGUUUCUUCUAAAGUUUUCAGCUAUCCCAUAUAGUUGCUUUCCUCAUGCAAUGAAAAUGUACACUAUCCAAGGCUCCCCUAAGGUUGCAGCACCAAAAAGAAACAAGCAGUUAUACUUUUGAGCUCAAUGAUUAUAUGAAUAAAUUCACUGCUUCUAUGCUGAUUCAGCAAUAUAUCUUGUCCUUCAUGGUGCAAGUAAAAAUUCAAAAUAGUGUUGCUUCUUAGAGGGAGAGUAUCAGAUGAUGGUGACUAGGCCCUAGUAAGAUGAGUGUUUAUUUCAAACCUUGUACCUUGUCACAAAGUUUCUAGAAGAUGUUCAUGAAGAUUCCAUGCUAAUUCCAAGUCAACUAGCUAGUUUUUGUGCAACCGUCCGGAUGGGCCUUUGAAGGCGCCUGGACGCCCUGCAGUGUCUAGAAGCUUCAGCGUCGAAGACGUCCGGACGUCAGGGCAACACUGUCCCGAAGCUAGGUCAAGCUUCUCCAAUUUUUACUCAGAGUUGGAUUUCAGUCGACACUUAUUUGGAAAGUUUCUGCAAGAUGUCCGGACGACGUGGCAACUUGUCCAGACACUAUCCAGCAUUCCAGAAUAUUCUGGAUUUCCUUUACAAGCGCGGAAAGGAGUUACAGCGAAGACCGUCCGAACGUGGACCUGUUAUGGGAAGUUUUGCGCUAUUCUAGAAAGGUAGUCACAGAAGACUGUCCGAACGAGGCUAUCUUCCGUCCGGAUGCUCCACAGCCAGAGUUCGAAUUUGUCUAGAAUUAUGUUUUCUGAAGCCCAUAUAAAGAGGGCUCUAGGCUUGUUAUUUGUAAGAAUUCAAUAUAGAAUUCCAUAGUGCUUAGAGAGGGUGUUUAGGGAGAAUUGAAUAUCCUUUAUCUCUCUAGCCGUUGCCGAUGUAUGCUACCACUGUUCGUGUGAAGUUUAUCCUAGGGGUCGGCCCUAAGGUAAAGGAAUUCAUCAAAGACCCCUUCAAGUAGGAGACUUGGUUGGGAAGCGUUCAUGAUGGGCUUCGUGUUAUAGUUAAAAGUAUGAUUACUGCAAUAGGUUUUGUGAGUACGAGUGCUUUGUAACUUAUUUUUUCUUUGGAUAGAGAAUUUCCUGAGUUUGGCA